UGGGGAAUCUUGGACAAUGGGCGCAAGCCUGAUCCAGCCACGCCGCGUGAGUGAAGAAGGCCUUCGGGUUGUAAAGCUCUUUUACCAGGGACGAUAAUGACGGUACCUGGAGAAUAAGCCCCGGCAAACUUCGUGCCAGCAGCCGCGGUAAUACGAAGGGGGCUAGCGUUGUUCGGAAUUACUGGGCGUAAAGCGCACGUAGGCGGAUUGUUAAGUCAGAGGUGAAAUCCCGGAGCUCAACUUCGGAACUGCCUUUGAUACUGGCAAUCUAGAGUCCGGAAGAGGUUAGUGGAAUUCCCAGUGUAGAGGUGAAAUUCGUAGAUAUUGGGAAGAACACCAGUGGCGAAGGCGGCUAACUGGUCCGGUACUGACGCUGAGGUGCGAAAGCGUGGGGAGCAAACAGGAUUAGAUACCCGGGUAGUCCCUGAGCGGGCUGGCAAGGCGCAU
rnacentral:rRNA from 1 species